UUUACUUUUUCCUGGAUUUUAGUAAAAUGAUUUGGAGGAAUCCAUAUAUUAGGCAUGGUUACCCGAGUACCUGUUAUAUAUUGUUCACGUUUUGAUGAUGGUGUUCUAAUAAUUCCACAGAUCAAAGCUUUUCAUCUUUAUGAUUGCUUGAGAGCAAACAAGUCAACUUCAGCAUGGGGACUUGAAGCUCGUGUACCCUUUUUAGAUAAAGAGUUCAUCAACGUUGCAAUGAGUAUAGAUCCUGAGUGGAAAAUGAUCAGGCCUGAUCUUGGGAGGAUUGAGAAGUAGGUCUUAUGUAAUGCAUUUGACGAUGAUCAGAAGCCAUAUCUGCCUAAGCACAUUUUAUGCAGACAGAAAGAGCAGUUCAGUGAUGGAGUUGGAUACGGUUGGAUUGAUGGUUUGAAGGACCAUGCGAGAAACAGGUCACUGAUGCAAUGUUGAUGAAUGC